UACGUAGGGCGCAAGCGUUGUCCGGAAUUUAUUGGGCGUAAAGAGCUCGUAGGCGGCUUGUCACGUCGAUUGUGAAAGCCCCGGGGCUUAACUCCGGGUCUGCAGUCGAUACGGGGCUAGCUAGAGUGUGGUAGGGGAGAUCGAAUUCCUGGUGUAGCGGUGAAAUGCGCAGAUAUCAGGAGGAACACCGGUGGCGAAGGCGGAUCUCUGGGCCAUUACUGACGUGAGGAGCGAAAGCGUGGGGGAGCGAACAGG
rnacentral:rRNA from 1 species